rnacentral:rRNA from 1 species
CCUACGGGUGGCAGCAGUAGGGAAUAUUGCUCAAUGGGGGAAACCCUGAAGCAGCAAAGCCGCGUGAAGGAUGAAGGUUUUAGGAUUGUAAACUCCUUUUGUUAGAGAAGAUUAUGACGGUAUCUAACGAAUAAGCACCGGCUAACUCCGUGCCAGCAGCCGCGGUAAAUCGGAGGGUGCAAGCGUUACUCCGAAUCACUGGGCGUAAAGCGGGCGUAGGCGGGGUAAUAAGUCAGAUGUGAAAUCCUGUAGGUUAACUACAGAACUGCAUUUGAAACUGGUACUCUGGAGUGUGGGAGAGGUAGGUGGAAUGCUUGGUGUAGGGGUAAAAUCCGUAGAGAUCAAGAGGAAUACUCAUUGCGAAGGCGACCUGCUGGAACAUUACUGACGCUGAUGCACGAAAGCGUGGGGAGCGAACAGGAUUAGAUACCCCUGUAGUC